GGUUGUGGCUCAGUGGUAGAGUGCUAGCCUAGCAUGUGUGAGGCACUGGGUUGGAUUCUCAGCACCA
rnacentral:tRNA from 1 species